AUUGAACGCUGGCGGCAUGCUUUACACAUGCAAGUCGAACGGCAGCGCGGGCUUCGGCCUGGCGGCGAGUGGCGAACGGGUGAGUAAUGCAUCGGAACGUGCCCAGUAGUGGGGGAUAGCCCGGCGAAAGCCGGAUUAAUACCGCAUACGACCUGCGGGUGAAAGCGGGGGACCGAAAGGCCUCGCGCUAUUGGAGCGGCCGAUGUCGGAUUAGCUAGUUGGUGGGGUAAAUGCUUACCAAGGCGACGAUCCGUAGCUGGUCUGAGAGGACGACCAGCCACACUGGGACUGAGACACGGACCAGACUCCUACGGGAGGCAGCAGUGGGGAAUUUUGGACAAUGGGGGCAACCCUGAUCCAGCCAUGCCGCGUGCGGGAAGAAGGCCUUCGGGUUGUAAACCGCUUUUGUUCGGGAAGAAAUCCUCUGGGCUAAUACCCCGGGGGGAUGACGGUACCGGAAGAAUAAGCACCGGCUAACUACGUG
rnacentral:rRNA from 1 species